rnacentral:rRNA from 1 species
GUUAAAGCGUGGCCGGGAGGCGGGGUAAUAGGGGGUGGGCAAGGAUUGAUCGGAAUUACUGGGCUUAAAGGGGGCGGAGGCGGGUAGGAAAGUCAGAUGUUGAAUUCCGGGGCUCAACUCCGUAGCUGCAUUUGAAACUGCCUAACUAGAGUUCAGUUAGGGUAAACGGAAUUCCACGGGUAGCGGUGAAAUGCGUAGAUAUGUGGAAGAACACCGGUGGUGAAGACGGUUUACUGGGCUGAAGCUGACGCUGAGGCGCGAAAGCAUGGGGAGCAAACAGGAUUAGAUACCCGGGUAGUC